rnacentral:rRNA from 1 species
UACGGAGGGUGCAAGCGUUAUCCGGAUUUACUGGGUUUAAAGGGUGCGUAGGUGGAUUUGUAAGUCAGUGGUGAAAUCUCCGAGCUUAACUCGGAAACUGCCAUUGAUACUAUAAGUCUUGAAUUAUCUGGAGGUAAGCGGAAUAUGUCAUGUAGCGGUGAAAUGCUUAGAUAUGACAUAGAACACCAAUUGCGAAGGCAGCUUACUACGGAUAUAUUGACACUGAGGCACGAAAGCGUGGGGAUCAAACAGGAUUAGAUACCCUGGUAGUCCACGCCCUAAACGAUGGAUACUCGACAUCAGCGAUACACUGUUGGUGUCUGAGCGAAAGCAUUAAGUAUCCCACCUGGGAAGUACGAUCGCAAGAUUG